GGCGCGGCGGCCGCGGCGUCGCAGGCGCCAUUUUGUGCGCGGCUCUUUCCCAUUUUAGGCCGCGGGGAGAGGGAGGAGCGGGCUCGCCCGUGGGAUCCGCGGAGGGAACGGCCGGAAGGCUCGUCCUGAUGUCCGCUGAGGCGGCACCGCAUCUCUUCUCGGCGGUACGACCCCCUCGCUGGGUCUCGGUGGCGGCCCCAGUUGCGGCGGCGAUGGCGCAGGAGCGGGCCCGGCCGGAGCCGGAAGUGGAGCGGCCGCCAUGGAGGCGCUGGGACCGCCCGCCGUGAGGGCGCGGAGCUGCCGGGGCGGCCCGAGCGCCCCGCAGAGACAAACCCGGGGUGCAGGUAGGGGCUGCCGGCCCGCGCCGCCUUCCCGCGGGGGAGGGCGCAGCUCCGCCGCCCUUCAUCGUCCCCGUGACGCGUGUGGGGAGGGAACGCGCCCGGCUCUUGCUGCUCGAGCGCUUCCUCACGGUUCCCUCUGCAGGGAGGCGCGGCAGGGACAGGGAUGAGCAGGAUGGAGGAGGCUGAGGGCUUCUUCUCGGAGAUGUGGGGGUGUCGUGGUGCCUGGUCCUGGAGGUACGGCCUUAUAAGGCGGGAUAGCCGCACCUGUCGGAGUCCUUGGAGAGAGUCCGGUCUUAGAGACGAGCUUUGACUUUACUAAGUAGGAGUUAGAGGCCGAAGCCUAUGAUAAAACCAAGUGUUUUAAAUUUAGUUUCACAUUUUGAUAUAUUAUACAGAAUUUGUUCUGUGUCUUAUGGUAAUACAGAUGCAUAGUUUUUAUUCUGAAGCAACAGAUCCAUAAUUUUUAUUCUAGAGUGAUGAGCAUCUUUGAUAGUGCUCACUGUAAGCUAAAAGGCAUCUCUAAGGAGUCCCUAAAGCAACAGUGGGGGACCAUUGUGUUAAUUGACAGAAGUAUAUGGUUAAUUCGGGUGUGGUUCCCAUGUAAGGUCUGUUUUAAAGGUGGCUUUUGUAUUUUACUUUUUAUUAUGGAGUCUGAUGCUUUGGAAAGUGGCAGGUAAUGGGAGAAUUCUCUAGGGAAUUCAGUGAGCAGAGGUGUGUGGUACAGGUAAGCUCUCAAGGUUUAAUAGUGCACAAAGUACACAGGACUUGUUUGGAAUUGACUGCAGGCAAGGCCUGACAUGGAGGAAAGGUCUGGAAUUUUGGUGUUUGGAUCUGGGUUGUAAUUAUAAAGAUGCUUGAAGAUUUCUACAGAAUGUCUAAAGGUUGAGGCAUUUAGUGUUGAGGGAGCUUUGAUUCUGUGCUGUCGUUCUGCUUUAAGCAGGGGAUAAACUGGGGAGUAUCAGAGGGGAACCUAGAGGAGACCUGGAGAGGGACUUUGGACAAGGGCAUGGAGUGACAGGAGGGGGGCAAUGGCUUUGCAGUGACUGAGAGCAGGUUGAGCUUCCAUAUGAGGAAGGAAUUCCUGCCUGUGAGGGAGGGGAGGCCCUGGCACAGGGUGCCCAGAGCAGCUGUGGCUGUCCCUGGAAGUGCCCAAGGCCAGGCUGGAUGGGGCAUAGAGCACUCUGGGAUAGUGGAAGGUGUCCCUGCCAUGGCAGGGGGGUUGGAAUUGGGGGAUGUUUAUAAGAUUCCUUCCAACCCAAACCAUUUUCUGAUUCUGUGACUUAGGAUAUAUUAUGCCUAACCCAAAUGUUAACAAAACUUAAAAAAUUUCAUUUGAAUGUGAACUUCUGAUCUCUGUGGAAUAUGUUGGGCAAAUCCUGGCUUGGAUUGUGAGCUUUCCUGAGGCAUGGUUUGUAUUUCUGUACUGAGUAUAGAACCAUUCAAUAAAUAACAGUUUGUGAUUGAACUAAUCAGUCUUGUUUCUGAUUUCUAGCAUAAAAAUCCUACCCCUGUGGAUGUAUCAGUUACAGCCAGCACAAUAAGGAGGUUCAUGGCACAUCACCCACCAAGCUGCUGUGAGCAAAAGGACUUUAUUUCUGUAUAGCCAGUGAGCUGGAGAGGUGACUUGUUCUUUUAUGGUAUUUUAAGCACCUAAGAAUGCCCAGUGGGCAGCUCAGCACAACACAAAUGUUCUCACACAGCUUAGGGAUGAUGUCUGGUGUCAUGGAAUGAGAACACUGUGCUUUUGGCAAGGCAGGAAAAAAGUCUAAUUUUGAUUUAAAUAUCUUUUCAUUGGAAUAAGAUAUCCAGGAAUCAAUAGUUACUCCAUGGUACUGAAAUUUUUCAUCCUAAAUGUCAUUGUUAAGCAGCUCUGAAACUUGAAGCCAUCCUGGCUGUGCUGGAUCUUUGUGCCCCAUCCUCCUGUGCAACCCCUUACAGGGAAGCUGUGGGGAUGAGUGGAAGAAAUGAGCAGAGGAGGUCACUUGGCUGAGCCUUUUCAUCAUGGCCUGGUGUGUUCACUGCACAGAGUUAACAGCUGAGAAGCUCUAGAGUGGGACAAUCACAAACUGCAAGUUCAUGUUGGUGACAAUAGUUACAGCUAUCCUGGGGAAGUCGUGCAGUGUUGCAAAACUACACAGCACUGCAGGGAAGCUGAAGAUUUGUGCAGCAGCUUUAAUUUAGAUGUGGCAAAGGAUUCUGUCAUCACCUGCAAUCAAGUGAUCAGCCUGUCUUUCAAAACUUGAAGUAGGUGCUUGAAGUCAAAUGAGAAUUUAGUUACUGUUCUGGGUAGCACUGCUCACAGGGCUGCUGAAGGAGAAUGUUCUUACACAGUUUUCAAAAGAGCACUUUGGAUGCCAGCAGUAAAGGUGAAGGAUCAGAUAUUUAUAUCUACCUGUCACUAGUUGUCUUUCAGGCUUUCUGGAUAACAUUUUUCAUGGCAGGCACAAGACAGUGGUUAGUACCAGAAAUGUAUUUUGUGCAGGUACAGGUUGCAUCAGUGCAUCAACCAUUCCAGUGUUGUAAAUUUAGUUUUUUAAUGCUUUUUAACUGGCUUCCAAAUUAUCUCUGUAGCAUGCAGCCUUUUUUCUUGGCUUCUGAGGUGGAAGCUUUAUUUCUGAUGUAAAUUCUUUAUCUGUGAAAGUUUUGCUCUUUCAAGGGGAGAAAAUGUUUUUUUUACAGGAAUGAAGGAAUAGUUUUGUUGGUAAAUACAGUUACCCAUCUACAGGUUGAAUGUAUUUUAUGUUCUUGAAAUAAACUUAAAUGGAAAACAUUUAAACUUACACCUGAAUCUCUAAAUAGUCUGUAUUCUACCUAACAGAGUCAAAUCUCUAGUUUAUAAUUACUGCUGCUGUAGUAAACUCCCAUCUAAAUCAAAUGUACAGGGUAAAACUUGAAAGCAAAACCCAUGUGGGUUUGGGAGUGGCAAUUACUUAUUUCAUUGCUAUGAAAACCAGCAGGAGAAAAAGUCUUUGAAGUUCUGCAUGUUGUAUUUGAAGAACCUUACUGCAGUCUUCUGAGUAAAUUAAGAUGCUGAAAUAGAAGCUACUCCUCCAUAAAUAUUUAACUUGUAAGAUCUACUUUGUAGCAACAGUGUGGUCACUUAUUCAGCCUUUUGUGAUACCACACGGGGAAGAAAUGUUUACUGGAGAGGUGUCUGUGCUGCCCAUAGCUCAAAUGUGACUUGCUGCUGGCACUGGAGAGCUGAAAUGGGUGUUUCAUUUGGUGUAGAGAUCUAACUCUGGCUGGAUUCAUUUCUUUACCUGUGUUAGAUUCAGGGUCUUUUUGUCAGUAGUUUAGUGAUCUGUCAUGGGCAAUCUGAAGUAAGAAUCUUCCCUGCUUAUCCUUUUAUCCUACCUGUUGCUAGUUUAUAUGUUAGACUGAUUUUUUUCCCUCACUGCUUCCUGUGAAGACUUUUUGCUGCAGCAGUAGCCAUAUUAAAAAAGUACAAGAAGGAAAUAAAGGUCUUAGGAGCCACGCUCUUAUACACCAGUGUCUGAAAAAACUUGUGCAAGUGGCUUGCAGAGUUCAGACUUCAACUAAAAGGCAUCUUUCCAUACUUGUGGAGAUAAAGAACAGGGUUCUGACACUGAUGGUGAGUCCUUGGACAUGGUCCACCUGCCAGCACAGGGGUGUCUCAGGCUUGCCAGCACUGAUAAGCUGGUGAUUAAAACACUUUAUUGUUACAGAUGCAGAGUGUAGAGCAACGUGAUCCAGCAGGAUCAAGACUGUGGAUUCACUGUCCUUCCUUUAACCCUCCGGAAGCACUGUGUGUGUCCCUGAAGUGUGUGUGUGACACUGCAGUCUGUGUGUCACUGCCAGCCUGCAGCCUGGCACAGAGGGAGGCAGCAGCACUGCUGUUCAGCAUGGCUGCUCAGCAAAAGCAAGCUGGUGAGGGCCGUGGUUACAUGGCCUUUCUUCCAGGGCUUUUGCUUGUCCAGAUUAUUUUGGUCACUGCAGGUUAAUUUACUUUUCAGCCUCAGCUAAUAAGACUGCAGUUGGUCAGUAUUGAUUCUUACUUAAAAGUAUUCAUGCCUUCAGUCUUUUGAAUUAAAUGUUUUGAGCUGUAAGUAGCUGCUGUUGGUGAGAACCUACAGUUUAGCCAAUGAUUAAAUUCUGGUUUUUUUUUUUUUUCCUGCUCAGCCAUCUUUUCCAAAGCUAUUUUUCAUUUGUCUGUGUCUUUUGGAGGAUAUUAUUCCAGGUAGCUCAUUUCCAGGUGGCCAGGGAGUUGGCUGCCCCAUCAACACUUAAGCUGUUAAUUAAUUGCCAGACUGUGCUGUUUGCUGGAGUUGGUACCUUCAGGGAUGUGCUUUCCCCUGCAGUGCUCCUGUGUAGUGUCACUUCAUUAGCUACAGCUAUAAACAGAGCUGUGUUGUGUGACAUUCAGAACUCUGACAGAGCAAAAUGCAUGGCUUUUUAGAGGGUUUUGUUAUUCUGGAUCAAUGGAAGAUGUAUUUGUGGGAGUGAUCUGUCUUGUCCUUGCAAGCGGCAAACAGGAUACACUGGUGUGAGGGUAGAUACAAGCUGGGGGAAGCAGCUCUUGUUAAACCAACUGAUGGAAAACACAUUUAGCUACAUUUUGGUUCAGCCUCAAAGAGCCUUUCAGAUUUGUUUCUGUUCGUGAUGUACAUAGAAGUGUUUGGGGGAAAUAGGCUCUCACUUGGUGGGCUUUGUUGGCUGUGGGAGCACCUGGGGUUAGAAUUGAAACUGAGCUUUGAACAUUCUGCUGAAGUAGGUGGUGCUUCCUGUGCUGCUCUUGUCACCUGUUAAUGCAGUCUCAUGUAAGAGCUCUCUGUUCUUUCUGAAUAUAAUGAAAGGAGCAGAUUUCCUGCUUCUCUAAAAUCCCAACAAACAAGAUAAAAUUUAACUUACAAAUAUUUAGGCAUCACUUGGGUGGGUUUUGGGGGUGUGUGGGUGUGUUUGGAAUGCAUCAGUUUUUGGGUGAAUUCACUAUAAUUGAACCUACUCUUAAUCUGGUGAAAUUGGAAUCCUAAUGACUGAUUUUGGAUCUGCAGACAGUAUGUGUACCAAAUUACAUCUAAUUUUAUGUAGCAAUAAAGCACACCGUGUUCUUUCUAAACCCUUGAUUGGCUUGUUUUAUCACAUUGCCUAAAAUGGUAUUUGCAGUGGGCAGUUCCUACAGUGUUUUUAGGGGAGACUUGAGGGGAUUUCAGUUUUUUCCUGUAUCUGAAGAUAGGGAUGUGUUUGGACUACAAACUGUGUGAUGCUGCUGCCUGCUUCAUUCUAGUUGUCCAUUUUUGGUUGGCACAGCAACUCGUAAGAACCAUUUUUAAACAACUGUUUCAGAGUCCUUUAAUAGCAAUGUACUGAAGAUGAAAGAGCACUGUGUGGGGGUGGCUGCAUCCAUCUGCAAAAAGGAGACUUGGUUUGAGCUUGGUUGUAGAUCCUGUGUUCUAAAAUACUAGAAUGUAUUUACAGUAAGGCAAGGCUUAACUCUGCUACCACUUGUUUUCUGCAACUCUGGGUAAUUAGACAUAAUAGGCAGCAAGAUGCUCUAGAAAGGAAAGUUACAAGCAGUUGGUCUCUCAAAAUAGCUCUCAGUUCUUAAGAAGAAGUAACUUCCUUGCUGCAUGCAACUUGAAAAACUGGUGGGCAGAGGAAAAGCUGGUCCUUGUCUUACAGACAUGCAACUGAAAGAAGAAAAUGAGGGGGAGAGAACAGACUCUGCUGUAUUUUUGGUGCAAUUACAGCAUCGGAAUUGUCAUGACAAUCAAAACUAUUUUUCUCUGUAAUCUUUCAACUGUGUACUUCAUUUUAAGGUCAUGCUAAGAUGCGUUACUGAAUUUGCUGUUUUGUGUUCCCUUGUAUGGCUGUGGUUUUAUCUUCAGGAAGAGAUUUGCAAAACAGCCCUGGAGUUGUUCCAAAUCUCCUUCCUUAAGGGUGCCUGGGACUGCACAGGCAGGAGCAUCCCAAGCAGUGCUGCAUCCACAUGGACAUCACACUCUCAGCAUGUGGGGCUUUAACCUCAGGCCAGCGAGCUAUUUUUGGUGAUGAGAAUUUACAAAUGAAUGACCCAAUGCUUGGCAUACUUCAGAUCUGCAUGAGGCACAUUCUGCUUGGAAUGUUUCCUUUCUGAGAGUCAGCACCAAAUACAGAUGAGUAGCAUUUCUUUUGGAGAUGGCCUCGUGGAUGUCUGCCACACAGGAAAUUUCAUAUAAGGGUUACUUCUUACAAUCUUGCCAUCAUUUCAUCAGCAGUACUAGCAGUUGUAAAGAGGCUAUUAUCCAUGCCAAUAACUUUUAUGGCCUUAUUAAAGUAGCAUAAAAUUAAUUAUCUUGAUUCAACAGCCUAAACUUGCUUUUUGAACUCUGCAAGUGCACUUUCAUAUUCUAAAAUCUGCCCUGGUGCAGUCAUGGAGAUGGAUGUAAGUAAACCAGAUACUGGAGCCUAUUGUUUUGUAAUUUGGCACCUGCAGUUCACCUUUUCCCCCUCUUAAUUUUCUUGAGCAAAGCUGCUGUAUGUGGACUUGCUGACUAAAUAAUUGUAACAAGGAAUGUGACAUAUCCAGCCUCAGUAAACAGCAGAGUAGUGAUUCAUCAGGUGCUGAGUAACAGCCACUGGAUGUGUGAGACUUAAGGAGGAGGAAGCAUCUUACUGAACAGGCUCCUCUUGUGUCAUCCUUGGAUCUGUACUUCUUAAACACUCCUUGGGUGGAGGGAUGACUUUGAGCUGAGAGAUGACUUGGUCUGUAGACUCUUCCUUCCUGCUGUUCUGUGUAAGCCCUGUGCUCUGGGUCUUGAGCAAGAACACACCAUUGAAACCCUGAAGUGUUUCAGCAUGGCAAGGACUGGAGUUCUGCAUUCCAAGUGGGUAUUUAACUUUCUGCUGUAUGAUGUGUUCCCAUAAAUGGCCAGAGUAGGACAAAGUAGGUUACUUGUGGAGCCUGAAGGAAGCAGUGCUGCUUUUUUGCUAUCUUUAGAUCUGAAACUUCCCAGUGCUUUGGGCAGAAAUAACCCAAGCAAGACUCUUAGACUCACCUCUUGCUCAAAUCUCUAAUUCAGAUUUCACCGUGCCAUUUGUUUGCCUUGCAAAGCAUUUCCACAUUUUAGUUACACUGAAGUUAUAAUUGACCCUUUUCAAGCCAGCUGCAAAAGCUAAUUUUAAUUUUAGGGAAGGGGAUGCAAGCCUUACUUCUGUAGGAAUGCACACUGCCUUUCAAACCUUCAUGUUGGCUGCCUGAUCAGGUGUUGUUCUCUGGGCUUAAAUCAAACUCCUGUCCUUAGAUGUUGUUUAAGCCUGCAGGAUAUGGGAGUAUCUAUAACAGAGCCAGAUUUCCCCCCCCCAGUCCUGUAAUUAAAAGAGAGCCUCUGCUAAAUAGAACCUUUUUGGUUUUUUGCAAUUUAAUUAUUUUGUCUUGUUCUGGAACAGAUCUAGUUGUCACCUAAAUAAUCUCAGAUCCAGCUUGAGCCCGUCUGGACCUUGUUCAACAAGUGAUUUCCCUCAGACAACUCUAUAUAUUUAGAAUAAAAUGGUCUUCAGCAUUAAUUCAAGUUAAAUCAUGCUUGGCUGUCCCACUGCAUUUUAGUUCAUUUGGUCAGUGUGGCCAUAAGCAGCCACUUCCUUAUUUUUUAAAGAUUUCUUCCCCUUCUCAACUCCACUGUUUUACACAGCAACAAGUAAAUACUUCUCAGUAGCAAAACUCAUUGAAGUUUCUGUUUAGCCUAUCAACUGUGGAUUAAACUAGUGAAACAUUAUGAUGACUAAUGCACUACUGUAUAAUUAGUUAAUUUUUAAGUAACUAAAAUUAGUAAGUUACUUGUUGAAUGCCGUGUGGUUGCCUCAUGGAACUGCAGUGUUGCAAAAAUAGCUGUCACAGGGGAGUUGCAGGAGUUUUACUGCUGGAAUGAGUCUCUGGGCUAGAAAUCUAUUCUAAUGUUCCUGGGCCUUGCUGACAAGAGGAAGCAAUGCUGAACCUAUGAUCAAAAAGAAUUCUGCUGUUUUCUGUUUCUAAAGUAAAGGGCAAUGUGAGUAUUAAAGGAGCUUGUUUAAAAUUCUGCUGCCUUUUUCCUCUUUGACCCUCUCUCCCCUCCCAAAAAAAAAGCAAAUUUCUUUUCUCACCUUCUAAUGCUCAAUUUUUUUUUCUUUCCCCAUUUGCAGUCAGUGAAAAUGAAAGUAGGUUUUUUUCCUUACCAUAAAAUUUUCCUUAACAGACUGAGUCUAUACUUUGGUAAAUUAAUGAUUAAAUUUGGAAAGUAAUCUGACAGUAAUAAUCAUCUUGGUAUUGUUUAACUAAAUUUUGCCAUGACAGGCAAGACACUGGGCAGCAUAUGGCAUGUAUUGCAGUCUGCAGCCUCUUGAAAUUGCUUUUCAUGGGACUUCUUGCUUGUGGUGAAAAGGUAUAGAAAAAUUAAGUGUUGAUCCUCAAAGGAGCUUUUUAAAUUGCCAUGUUCUCCAAGAAGUAGUUAUUUGGAAAUUUUGGAUAAGCAAGUAGGUGGCUGUGCACCUCUUAUCUCUUCAUAUUCCUUCAAUUUUGUCUUUUAAAUAUACACAGCUGGUGCUGCUGUUCUCACUGUGCCCUGAAAUGUGGCUGUGAGUGUUGUUCCAGCUCCUGUCCCCAGCUGUGAGUGGCUGUCACUGAAGGCAUUGGAGGGGUGGAUGGGUGGGUGUAGCCACACGAGGACAGCCUUCAGUUUCCCUUUAGCAGUUCACAGUGUGUGCUACAAACAUCAUGGGUCUGAUCCUGGACAUGAUGAUCCUUCUGGGUCCCUUCCAACUCAGAAUAUUCUGUGAUUUUAGGAACAGAAUCAAGACACAAUGAAGAGAAUCAGGUACUUCCCUGCUGCCAUUGCCAGGGAGUGGCAGAUCUGCCUCAGCUGAUGCUGUAAGGUGCUGCUGAGGAGUUUCCUGACUGGCACUGGCCUGUGACUCCAAGAGCUGAGUCAGCAGGAAGCUGCAGUAGUAAAUUCAGUCUGGAGCCCUGGAAUUCCAGGCUGACUCAGUGCAGCAGCUGUUCCUGCUGCCUCAGGAGGAGGCACUGAAGGAGGCUGCCUGUCCUGGCCAUGACUAAGGCUGGCUCAGGCUGGCCCCAUCUGUCCCAGCAGGAACUCAGGUAGCCUGAACUGACACAGAGCCACCUCCCUCUGCUGACCUUCCCAUGUCACAAAAAGGAAGUAGAACCUGUGCUUUGUAAUCCUGCUACACAGGAGACUGGAGAAGGCCAGGUAUUUUCCAAACUACCUCUUUAAAAAAUAAACCUCUAAGGGAAAGCUUCUGUUUUAAGGGCUGGUGAACAUGAGUGUGUAGUCCUAAAGCUGAGGAGUUUGAUUCAUUACACAAGUAUGCAUUUUAGAUUAGCAGGGCCAUUAGAAUUUUAACUGCAUGUACAAACAAGACUUCAAAUUUUAACUGAGUUUUAAGGUGGUGAACAGAACAGUUUAUUACCUUAUAGAAUCAUAUGAGUUAGAAUGGACCUGAAAGAUCAUCUCAUUGCUCUCCCUUGCCAUGGGCAGGGUCACCUUCUACCAGACCAGGCUGCUCCCAGCCCCAUCCAACCUGCUGUUUCAAAACUUUGAAGUGCCUAGAAGAGGGAGUCUGUUUUCCUAGGAAGUGAGGAAUGACAGCAGCAAAGCUUGUUUUUCUCUUCUGGAAAGGUCAACAAUUGAUGAAGCUGAUUCAGAAGUGUGUUAAGAUUAACUACAGCUGAAUAAAAGAGUUUAAAAAUA